UUUACGGGAGCUACACAUGCAGCCGAGCGGUAGAGAUUCUUCGGGAUCUUGAGAGCGGCGUACGGGUGCGGAACACGUGUGCAACCUGCCUUUAUCAAGGGGAUAGCCUUUCGAAAGGAAGAUUAAUACCCUAUAAUAUAUGAUUCGGCAUCGGAUUAUAUUGAAAACUACGGUGGAUAAAGAUGGGCACGCGCAAGAUUAGCUAGUUGGUGAGGUAACGGCUCACCAAGGCGACGAUCUUUAGGGGGCCUGAGAGGGUGAUCCCCCACACUGGUACUGAGACACGGACCAGACUCCUACGGGAGGCAGCAGUGAGGAAUAUUGGACAAUGGGUGGAAGCCUGAUCCAGCCAUCCCGCGUGUAGGAAGACGGCCCUAUGGGUUGUAAACUACUUUUAUCUGGGGAUAAACCUACUUACGUGUAAGUAGCUGAAGGUACCAGAUGAAUAAGCACCGGCUAACUCCGUGCCAGACC
rnacentral:rRNA from 1 species